CAUAUAGUUGAAGAUAAGAGUGGAUAACUAAAUAAUUGGUAGCUUGUUGAGGCUUUUCAUCACAUGGCCUGAUGUCCAGAUUAAAGAAGACUCCACAGGUACGGCCUUAAUAUAAUUGGGGGCCGUGGCUUAAAAAUACAUUAAAAUCAUAUUUCAUAAGGUUUAUCAACAAGUUAUAUCGGCUGGAGCUAAGUCUCUAGGGCAGUAUAUUUCCAUUGUUCAAGCAGAAGCUUGGGCUCUGCAUGAGGGCAUCAAAGGAGCCCUUUCGCUGAAUAUCUCUAAGUUGGUGGUGGAAGGGUUGGAUGCUGCUCUAUUUUCGGAGUGUCGCUUCUGUCACUGCUUCCGUGAGGCAAAUCGGGCGGCAGAUUUUAUGGCUAAAAAGGCGCAUUCUUACUCCUCGCUGUUAUAUUGGUUUCCCCCUUACUGUCUGGAUUUUUCCCUUAUCAUCCGUAAGGAUGUUUUAGGUUGGCCGCCUGAUUAAUGGGUGGUUUGCCUAAGUUUUUUCUCCUUAUCAAAAAAAAAAAAAAUCAACAA